UUAUUAUGAGAGUUUGAUCCUGGCUCAGGACGAACGCUGGCGGCGUGCCUAAUACAUGCAAGUCGAACGCUUCUUUCCUCCCGAGUGCUUGCACUCAAUUGGAAAGAGGAGUGGCGGACGGGUGAGUAACACGUGGGUAACCUACCCAUCAGAGGGGGAUAACACUUGGAAACAGGUGCUAAUACCGCAUAACAGUUUAUGCCGCAUGGCAUAAGAGUGAAAGGCGCUUUCGGGUGUCGCUGAUGGAUGGACCCGCGGUGCAUUAGCUAGUUGGUGAGGUAACGGCUCACCAAGGCCACGAUGCAUAGCCGACCUGAGAGGGUGAUCGGCCACACUGGGACUGAGACACGGCCCAGACUCCUACGGGAGGCAGCAGUAGGGAAUCUUCGGCAAUGGACGAAAGUCUGACCGAGCAACGC
rnacentral:rRNA from 1 species